AGAGUUUGAUCAUGGCUCAGAUUGAACGCUGGCGGCAGGCCUAACACAUGCAAGUCGAACGGUAACAGAAAGCAGCUUGCUGCUUUGCUGACGAGUGGCGGACGGGUGAGUAAUGUCUGGGAAACUGCCUGAUGGAGGGGGAUAACUACUGGAAACGGUAGCUAAUACCGCAUAACGUCGCAAGACCAAAGAGGGGGACCUUCGGGCCUCUUGCCAUCGGAUGUGCCCAGAUGGGAUUAGCUUGUUGGUGGGGUAACGGCUCACCAAGGCGACGAUCCCUAGCUGGUCUGAGAGGAUGACCAGCCACACUGGAACUGAGACACGGUCCAGACUCCUACGGGAGGCAGCAGUGGGGAAUAUUGCACAAUGGGCGCAAGCCUGAUGCAGCCAUGCCGCGUGUAUGAAGAAGGCCUUCGGGUUGUAAAGUACUUUCAGCGGGGAGGAAGGGAGUAAAGUUAAUACCUUUGCUCAUUGACGUUACCCGCAGAAGAAGCACCGGCUAACUCCGUGCCAGCAGCCGCGGUAAUACGGAGGGUGCAAGCGUUAAUCGGAAUUACUGGGCGUAAAGCGCACGCAGGCGGUUUGUUAAGUCAGAUGUGAAAUCCCCGGGCUCAACCUGGGAACUGCAUCUGAUACUGGCAAGCUUGAGUCUCGUAGAGGGGGGUAGAAUUCCAGGUGUAGCGGUGAAAUGCGUAGAGAUCUGGAGGAAUACCGGUGGCAAAGGCGGCCCCCUGGACGAAGACUGACGCUCAGGUGCGAAAGCGUGGGGAGCAAACAGGAUUAGAUACCCUGGUAGUCCACGCCGUAAACGAUGUCGACUUGGAGGUUGUGCCCUUGAGGGGUGGCUUCCGGAGCUAACGCGUUAAGUCGACCGCCUGGGGAGUACGGCCGCAAGGUUAAAACUCAAAUGAAUUGACGGGGGCCCGCACAAGCGGUGGAGCAUGUGGUUUAAUUCGAUGCAACGCGAAGAACCUUACCUGGUCUUGACAUCCACAGAACUUUCCAGAGAUGGAUUGGUGCCUUCGGGAACUGUGAGACAGGUGCUGCAUGGCUGUCGUCAGCUCGUGUUGUGAAAUGUUGGGUUAAGUCCCGCAACGAGCGCAACCCUUAUCCUUUGUUGCCAGCGGUCCGGCCGGGAACUCAAAGGAGACUGCCAGUGAUAAACUGGAGGAAGGUGGGGAUGACGUCAAGUCAUCAUGGCC
rnacentral:rRNA from 1 species